AUGGCGGAGGAACAGCGAGCUGCGGCCGAGAGGCGAGCACGGCGCAAGCUGCUGUUCGCCGUCCCCAUCAUUCCGAUCGUCUUGUUCAUCGUCGGCUCAUGCGCGCUCUUCUUGUUCGCGGCCGACCUCCCGCGCAUCCGCAUCGAGUACGCCUGCCUCAAUGGCGCCCGUGACGCUCCGCCCACGAAUUCGAAGGAGCCGCCGGAGGCCGUGGUGGUGCAGACUGUUCGCGGCGAGGAGGAGCAACGGCUGCGCCAGCUGAGCGACCGGCCGUACUCGCUCGGCCCGAACGUGGCCGACUACGACGCCCGCAGAGCGGCCUGGCUGGCCGCGCACCCUGGGUUCCCGGCCAUGGUCGCGCCGGGGCGGCCCCGGGUGCUCGUGGUCACCGGGUCGUCGCCGCGCCGGUGCACGGAGGCGGAGGGCGACCACGUGCUCCUCCGCGCGUUCAAGAACAAGGCGGACUACUGCCGCGUGCACGGGCUGGACAUCUUCUACAGCAACGCGGUGCUGGACGGCGAGAUGACGGGGUUCUGGACGAAGCUGCCGCUGCUGCGCGCGCUGAUGGUGGCGCACCCGGAGGCGGAGCUGCUGUGGUGGGUGGACUCGGACGCGGUGUUCACCGACAUGCUGUUCGAGCCGCCGUGGGGCAGGUACGCCGGCCACAACAUGGUGCUCCACGGCUGGGACGGCGAGGUGUACGGCGCCAGGAACUGGCUCGGCGCCAACACCGGCAGCUUCGUGCUCCGGAACUGCCGGUGGUCGCUGGACCUCCUGGACACGUGGGCGCGCAUGGGGCCGCGCGGCCCGGUGCGCGACCGGUACGGGAGGGUCUUCGCGGAGGCGCUGUCGAACCGGGCGGCGUGGGAGGCCGACGACCAGUCGGCGCUGGUGUACCUGCUGGCGACGGAGCGUGGCCGGUGGGGGGAGAAGGUGUUCCUGGAGAGCGCCUACCACCUGCACGGGUUCUGGGAGGAGAUCGUGGGCCGCUACGAGGAGAUGCGGAGCAGGUGGCGGCCGGGGCUCGGCGACCACCGGUGGCCGCUGGUGACGCACUUCGUCGGGUGCAAGCCGUGCGGGGAGCCAGGCGCGACCUAUGAUGCAGUGGCGUGCCGUGAGGGCAUGGAGCGCGCGCUCAACUUCGCGGACGACCAGAUACUCGGCCUCUACGGGUUCCAGCACGAGUCGCUGGGCACCACGGCCGUGCGGCGCGUCAGGAACGACACCGGACGGCCGCUGGACGACGAUGACGAGGAGAUCGGCAGGCUCCUGCACCCAGAGUUCAGGGCCGCCAAGGAGAAAUGA
rnacentral:rRNA from 1 species